rnacentral:rRNA from 1 species
GGCGAACGCUGGCGGCGUGCUUAACACAUGCAAGUCGAACGGAAAGGCCCUGCUUUUGUGGGGUGCUCGAGUGGCGAACGGGUGAGUAACACGUGAGUAACCUGCCCUUGACUUUGGGAUAACUUCAGGAAACUGGGGCUAAUACCGGAUAGGAGCUCCUGCUGCAUGGUGGGGGUUGGAAAGUUUCGGCGGUUGGGGAUGGACUCGCGGCUUAUCAGCUUGUUGGUGGGGUAGUGGCUUACCAAGGCUUUGAUGGGUAGCCGGCCUGAGAGGGUGACCGGCCACAUUGGGACUGAGAUACGGCCCAGACUCCUACGGGAGGCAGCAGUGGGGAAUAUUGCACAAUGGGCGGAAGCCUGAUGCAGCAACGCCGCGUGCGGGAUGACGGCCUUCGGGUUGUAAACCGCUUUCGCCUGUGACGAAGCGUGAGUGACGGUAAUGGGUAAAGAAGCACCGGCUAACUACGUG